UGGAUUAAGUGGAGGCGUACUCGGUUGAGUACGUUUUCACCUUCGGGAAAGCGCAUUUUCCCUCUGCUUCAGCUCAAAAAAAGUCCCUGAACUUCAACCCUUCAUAUCUUUUUAACCACAACUCCAAAUGAGCCCCUCCGAGAGAGAACUGUUUCCGGCAAAUCUUUUCGCGGCUUCACCGCACUCCUUCCC